UGUGUUUCCCUUCCUAAAUGGAAGCCCCAAGUGAAAGCCUUGGCUGAUGUUUGCUCUCCUGAUGUGAUUUCAUUUCCAUCAUUAUCCGGUGAAAAGAUCCCAGCAUCCGGCACCAGCACCUUCCUUUCCCCCACCCCUUUGGGAUGCCAGCGCCUGUCUCUCCCUCCCAGAACCAUUGCUUCACUGAGGAGGAAUUCAAGCAGAUUUCAGGCAACCUUGUGUUUCCCAUAAAUCAAUGUUGAAAGUGAAACCCUAGCACGAGGGGCCGCAAUUGCAACCAGCUGAGCGCAGACAGGCAGGCUAAUUGGAACCUGGCCUGCAUGGCACGAUUUGUAUGCCCUGAACGGAUGCGGGUUUCUGCAAGGAGGUGCUGCCAAGCCCUUCUCUAGCACAAAGGGGAGACACUGGGCUCAGCGCCAGCCUCUGACCCAGCCCCUGUGCUGACCUUGGCUGAAGGACCACCCUCCUUUUGGCUCUGACCCCUCUUGCUUUACCCAGUGGUCUCCAGGCUGAGUUUUGCCACAUGCAUGCAAGGUAGCCACCAGCUUUAGGGGACCUGCUGGGAGACUUAUAUCUUAGCCCUCUGAGAAGGAGAGCCUCAGCCCCAGCAUCAGAGUCCUAGGGGUCCCCCGUGGCUCUCCUGGGCCUAGUGAUGAUGCUUGCCUUCACAGAAUGAACCAACCUCCUUUAAAAACUACAAAAUUAUGCUUUAUGACCAUGUUGGCAUAAUGGUGAGUAUAAUACAGGCUAGACUCCUUAUUAGGUAUUCAUUGUACUAUUUGUUUUUGUUUUCUCUUGUGUUUUUAAAAUUAGAACAUUUUCACCUAAAAGAAUCAUGGGCCCUAGAUACUAUGCUUGCUGGGACUAAUGAAGAAGGCAGCCCUGACUGCUCCCACAGAACCUCAGAUACUCUCCCUUUAGGAAAACUGCAAGAUCUCUCUGCUCCCAGACCUCUUCCCUACUGGAAUGGAUAAGAGAAAGUUCAGGAGACUGAAAGUCCAGGAUCAAGGGACUGGCCGGGCUGGGUUCCUCUGAGUAAGGCCUCUCUCCUUGGCUUCUGCUGCUCACCAUCGGCCCUUUCUGCUGCUGCUGCUCACCAUCAGCCCUCUCUGCACAUGGACUUAUUCUCUCUCCUUGUGUCCUAAUUGUGCCUCCUCAUAAGGACACCAUUUAAAUUGGAUUAGGGGGUCACCCUAACAAUCCUAUUUAAAUUUUACCUACCUUUUUCAUGGCUCUAUCUUUAAAUAGGAUCACAUUGUGAAGUGCUGGGAGUUAGAACUUUGUUUGGGGGGAUGUGGGGAUCUUGGAGGCCACAUGCAAGUUGGUUAUGGGAUUGUGCAAGGGCAUCACAGCUAAGGGGACACUGUUCAUAUUGUAGAAACUUUAAUCAUUUGGAAAUCUUCCAUUUUAAUGUAAUUUCAUUGACUUCAAAGGUGGGCAAUUUGUUGAUUCCUUAUGGCAGAUUUCCUGCAGAGGGCAGUAAAGUGCUUACUCUACCAUUAUUAGUGUAUUAUGAUAAUUUUCUGAUCAAUGGAAAUAAAAUAUCUGAAAAAGCGGUCUCUUUUCUUAUGCAGGUGCUGUGUUUUUGGACUGGCAGUGGCUGGAGCAUAUGGCUGGCCAGGGCCCUGGACAUGCUUGGAGUAGGAUUUGUGAUCGAAGUUAGCAAAACUGACUGAAUCUAUGCAGGAUCAUGCAAAUGUUAGUUUCAUGGACCAUGUCAAAGGAGAAGGUUGACUCCAACAGCUGCUAGACUGGGCUGGUCAUGGAACCUAGAUUCUCUGGUCCUUGUACUGAGCACAUUCCUUUGACCACUGACAGAAUUUAUUUUCAAAACCUGUUCAGUCAACAGAGAAAAUACGGAGGGUGGUCUCGAAUCAUCCCAGUCCAAUGAUCCAGGAAUAAUCUGGAAGCCCCAUGGCCAAAGCUGACAUGGUAACUGCCCCAGGUGCUUUCAGGGACCUACCAACCUCUGCCAAAAAUCACCAUCGACUGCCCAUCUCAUUGCCUCGUGGGCAGGAUCAUCUGGGUCCCUGAGAUCCCCACAUUUAGGGUCUGCCUAGUGCCAGGGAGGUUGGGAGAAGAGAAAAAGGACAGGGAAGAGUCAGUAAAGAAAGCAGGGACACAGGGGUGCCAUUCCAAGUGACAUAUUAGGCACAUUUUGGGGUGUGCCUGUUCAGAAGCCCAGAGGUAUGUGGUGGCCCAGCCUUGGUCUCAUGUCCUCUCUCCCUCCCUGUGAUGCUCAGUUGUUUCUCUCACUGCGUGUGGCCACAGGUUGGGGACAAUGUGAUUGGAACGCUUUCAUUUUUGUCUUUGCUCAAAAGUCUUCUGUCUCUUGGGCUGAGGUUGUUU